UGAUGACUCUGCAUGGUGAGAUGUUAGGAGGGCUUAACCUUUCUCUCUGCUCCUCACGCAGCUGCCCCUUACUCUAGGAGUCCACAGACGCGAGAAGGACUCAGGACUCACUCGUUUGUUGUUGUUUGGCUUUUUUGUUGGUGGUGGUGAUGGUUGUAGUUGUUGAUGUUUUUUGAGACAAAUUUGCUUCAUAACCCCAGCUGGCCUCAAACUAAUAGCAAUUCUCCUGCCUCAGCAUCCUGAGUACUGGGAUUCCAAGCCUGUACCACCAAGCCCAGCAGAAAUGGUGUUUCAAGGAGAGGAAAAGUGGCCUGGAAAGGUUCAAGUAGGACAUAGUCCUGGCUGCCAUUAUCUCUUAGGCUUCCUGGUGCAAGCAUACACUCCCUCCCUCUGAGGUGAGCCAGCCUCUGGGCCUUCACUCAUCUUGCUACACCUCGGCCCCUCCACCCCUCCAGCUGUCAAAGUGGCAGCCAAAUUCUAGAUCCCAGUGGCUCUCUUGCUACUUGAACAUCCUGCAGAAACAACCCACCAUCAGGUUUCUCUGUGCUUUUUAUACCCAAGCUCUGAAACUUGGCAGGCAGCCAGGCUGCUCUUCAUUAGGUGAGGACAGGAGUGAACUUGGAGAAACAAAGAUCCCAUCACCCAGAGCUGCUUCCUGGGACGUUAGAAACACAGUCCAGCUCCACUGAGUUUCUAGAUGCUCUGGCAGGACUCAGGGCUAUCUACUUGUUAUGCAAACAGGCCGCUUUGAAUUUCCAGUUUUCACUUCCUUUUCCUUACCCUUCAAACACUGUGAGGAAUCCUGUCAUUUCUCACUGUCUUGCCAUGACAGCAAUUAUGGGCCUGGGUUGAGAAACCAAGGAAGGGGAGGCCCUCACUCUCCACCCUCGUUCUCUCCACUGCUUGUGCGAAUUCUAGAACCAGCUUUUUCAACAGCCAUUUGACCCCUCCUCGUUCUGUAGUGAAUGCUGUUUGUUCUUGUGGGGUGGCUUCAGCUUUGCUUUGUUUUGUUUUACAAAUAUUUACUCUAGCACCUGACUUACAGAAUACAAAUAUUUACCAAAAAUUAAAAAUUCUUGGCACAAUACUCCUGUCCUAUGAAAAGGCUUCCAUUGUUCCUACAACUGGAGAGAUAGAGAGAAAGAAACACUAUUCUUCAGCGCAGUGUGCCGAGCACUGCUUGUUUUGUGCAUGACCUCAGCCUUGCCAUCAGCCAGCACUGCAGAAGGUGGUGUUACUUGGUCUGGGUUGCCUUCAGUCUCACACAUAGGGUUGGUUACAUAAGCAGAGUAACAAUGGGAAUUUUUAUAGUGUAAGCAGUGCUGCACUUGGUCUGAAGUCAUGGGAACCAUCGCCAGUCUGUCACGUGAGCUCUGCUGGCGUGAGGCCUCACACUCCCCAGCGUGUUGGGAGCAUUUUGAGAAGGUAGCUGGACAUGUAAGGACUCAGUCCCAAGCCCGGGAAUGCCUGGGAUCAGGAGGCCUCAUUGGUCACACUCUACAGAAAUGCAUCUCCAGGCAUUCGCUUGAACAUCUGCUGUCCUGCACAGCCUGGGGUCUGCUCUGAGCAGCAGUUCAUACCCUGGCAAGCUGCACUGCAGAGGGCUCCUGCUCACGGGAAACCAAACCCAGCCGAGUCCGAUGUCAGCCUGCAGCCUCUGAGUACGGAGCAGCAGUGCUGACUGACUGAUGGUGCAGUUGUCUCCCUCUGCUCUGGGACAUCUCUCCAAGGGUCAGAACUGGCCCCUGUCCUGUGGCAGCCUCAAGCUACGUUCCCUGUGUUGUCUCUGUCAUUUUUCAUAUUAUUCUUUCUAGUGAAUAAUUACCACAUUUUAGUUAUUUAUUUAGCUUAUUUUUUUUUUAAUUCCUAAAUUCAGGUUUGGGAGAUGGUUUUGUUGGUAAAAUCUUUGCCUUACAAGUGUGGGGACAUGAGUUGGCACCUCCAGCACCUAUAUAAAAGCCAGGUACAACAACACAGAUCUGUAAGCCACCACUGACAGACGAAGGCCCCAAAACUCUGGCCAGCCAGUCUAGCUGAAUGAGUACACUGCAGGGUUAGUAAGAGACCUGCUGCAAAUCUCUAGAGAGGAACUGACAAGACAUUCAGAAUUGACCUGUAAUCUACACACGUGCAUACAGCACAUACAAGGCCUCACAUUGAUGUUUUCAUAUGCGUAUACAUGCAUGCAUGCAUACAUACAUACAUUUAGAAACACAUACACACAUGGCAUGCACACACUCGUAGUAGAACAUGGAGAGGCUGUCACUGCAGAUGUGACCUCUCCAUCCCUGGCAGUUGUCUUACUGACAGAGGGCAAGCUGCCUGGGGUCAGUGCCCUCCGCCAGCUCUGGCACUCUUGCAGGGCAUCUUUCAGUUCACCGAGUGUACUUUCAAACUCCAGCCCCUAAGCAUAGGGUUGGAAAAAAGGGAGCAUUUUAACUAGGGCCAUUUUUUUUAAAUAAGGCAACUUCAUUGUGGGAAAUUUUUCCAAGAAGUAAUAGACAUUGCAGGCUCAGAGACUACUGCUGUUUUCUGCCAGAAUUGCCUUCCUCCGUUUUAGAGAAAUUUCGAAGCUUUGUUUCUUGCAUCAGUAAAGGAGAAGAACCAGGCAUUGCUUCCAAAAGAAACACGGAGAAAAUCAAGGUUGUUCAACGAUUAUGUUUUAGUCUGUGGUGUCAUAGGAAGAUCUUACAUGCAAUAACGUACAAGGAAGAAUCAUGUUUGAGUUGGAAAGGGAUAGCCUGAUGGAGAUUUUAAUAUUAACGAUGCCAGUACUCUUUUUUUUUGUUUUGUUUUGUUUUUGUUUUUUUGAGACAGGGUUUCUCUGUGUAGCCCUGGCUGUCCUGGAACUCACUUUGUAGACCAGGCUGGCCUUGAACUCAGAAAUCCGCCUGCCUCUGCCUCCCGAGUGCUGGGAUUAAAGGCAUGCGCCACCACGCCCGGCUGCCAGUACUCUUU
rnacentral:lncRNA from 1 species